GAAAUGCGAUAAGUAAUGUGAAUUGCAGAAUUCAGUGAAUCAUCGAAUCUUUGAACGCACCUUGCGCUCCUUGGUAUUCCGAGGAGCAUGCCUGUUUGAGUGUCAUGAAAUUCUCAACCUUUCUAGUUUUCUGACUAGUCAGGCUUGGAUCAUGGAAGUUGCUGGUUCAAUGUGAAUCAGCUCUUCUUAAAUAUAUUAGCAAAGACUAUUGCCGGCCAUCUUUGAUAUGAUAAUUAUCUAUAUCAUUGAUGACCAGUUCUCUGUGGUCUUGCUUAUAAUUGUCUUUCAGACAAUUGAAUAACUUUUGACCUCAAAUCAGGUAGGACUACCCGCUGAACUUAA
rnacentral:misc_RNA from 1 species